AUUACAAUGAUAGGUAUAUUAGGGGUUUCUGUUGUGUGUAGGGCUCUUUAAGAAAUUUUGGUUCCCCUUUAAAUACUCCAGGAAGCUAAAUUAGGGUACAGUUCAGCCUCUCCUUUACCCUGUAAUAACUUACAGGAAGUGUACUAAUAUGGCAUAAAAUAUUGAUGACAUUGUAACACAUGACUGUCGGUGAGUAGGUGCGGCACCAUGCAUUUAUCAUAAGAUAAUUCACUUGUUCAUACGGAAGUAUGAAAGAUAAUACAUGGAUGACUGCUGGAAGGAACAUUAUUAGUCUGAAGGUCCUGCACUGAAUGCAUCAGUUUUCUUUCUUGGAAGAGGCAGUACUGGCAGUUACACUUCAGUUUCCUGUGCUCUUGAAGCCUUUACAAUGUUCACUGCAAAUGUGAGUAGGUGGAACCUCUUGGUUAAGUAAGAAUGUGUUGCGAAAUCUUUGGCUCAUGUGUUUCUAACCAAGCUCCCUGCAGUCACGGAUUGGAGAGCUGGAGUUUAUAAAAGUACGGCAGAGCCCUGAGAACCCUUCUCUGUGAAACUAGGAUACAGUGCUGGGAGCGCAGGAGAUGAUGGAGGGCAUAACUUUCCUCUCUGCAAAACAAAUAUGGAUUUUUUUUAUACCUACUGGUUUGAUAUACUGAUCACUCAUUCUUGUAUACUAUAAAUUAAUAUAUGUAUAUUCUUUUUAAUUAACGUUGUAUUUCUUAGUAAAGCCAAACAUGCUUCUAAAAUCACAGAACAAUAUAUUAAGGGAGUGUCUAAAAUGUUUAAAAUAUUUUCCUUGGGAUGGAAGACAACAUCAUUGCGAUGAGAAUGAAGGACUCCAACCAAAUUUUCGAUUCAUACUGUGUGUGAUCUCAGAAAUGGCUUGGGUUUUUAUGGGACUCUUUUGAAUUUAAUUCACUUUUGGACUUGUUUUCUACAGAUGAUGAUGAAGUGACCAAGUUUUGAAGAAUCAGAUAGGAUCUAAUUGUGGUUUGCCUCUUUGAGGAGGAGACAGAGUAAAGAAAGAGCUGCGGGGCUCCUCAGGGAAUCAUUUGUUGCACAUGUUCAGCAGUCAAGCACUUUCAUUUCUCAUCAGCACCAAUGAGAUUUCCCCAGUGGUAAAGUGAAAGAAGUCAGCCCAAGAUUCCUACAGAUAACAAACUCCCUCAUGGAGUGAUGGCUGGGCAGAGGUUAUUUUGCCAAUAAGUGAGUAUGUGCUAUAGCUUCAAGGCUUUUGACUUUAAAAGAAAAGAAUUAAAGGUGGACUCCUUAUUGAAAAUGUCAGUGAAGAAAUCGUCAUGGUAAAAAGCUGUGGGAAAACUGCUUUGAGGGAAAGGCUCCAGACAUCUUUAAAGAAAACCCACUCCACAUUCUUGUCACUCCUGUUUAGAGUAAAUACCAUACAUUAGAUUGCCUCCAUAAGGACAGCAUCCCCCUUAAGCACUCUAUGUAGGUCAGGAAAUUUGGAUCAUUAUUUCUAACAGUAAGGGGUGAAGGGUCUGAAUUUGAAGGGCUCAAACUGUGCUGCAGUAGGAUGUGGAGGACCCCAGUUAGUUGUAUUUGCAACAACAAGUCUCUAUUAAGUGACAACACAGAACAGAUCUGUGUUGUAUAUUAUUUGUAGUAGUUCUGAUAGCCUCACACUAAAGUCACAUUGUGAGUAACAGAAAUACAAUGAAUUUCUGUGUUCCGGGUAUAGUAGUGUUAAGUGCGGGUAGGUAUAUCUGUUUCCAAAUAUUGUUUGAAAGAUACCAGAGAUACUAUAACUAUAUAUAUAUAUAUAUAUAUGUUAUACAU